rnacentral:rRNA from 1 species
GAUGAACGCUGGCGGCGUGCCUAAUACAUGCAAGUCGAGCGAACGGACGAGAAGCUUGCUUCGCUGAUGUUAGCGGCGGACGGGUGAGUAACACGUGGAUAACCUACCUAUAAGACUGGGAUAACUUCGGGAAACCGGAGCUAAUACCGGAUAAUAUUUUGAACCGCAUGGUUCAAAAGUGAAAGACGGUCUUGCUGUCACUUAUAGAUGGAUCCGAGCUGCAUUAGCUAGUUGGUAAGGUAACGGCUUACCAAGGCAACGAUGCAUAGCCGACCUGAGAGGGAGGUCCGCCACACUUGAACUGAGACACGGUCCCGACCCCUACGGGAGGCAGGCGUAGGGAAUCUUCCGCAAUGGGCGAAAGCCUGACGGAGCACCGCCGCGUGAGUGAUGAAGGUCCUCGGAUCGUAAAACUCUGUUAUUAGGGAAGAAAAUAUGUGUAAGUAACUGUGCACAUCUUGACGGUAACUAAUCAGAAAGCCACGGCUAAAUACGUG